rnacentral:rRNA from 1 species
GAUGAACGCUGGCGGCGUGCCUAAUACAUGCAAGUCGAGCGAACAGACGAGGAGCUUGCUCCUCUGACGUUAGCGGCGGACGGGUGAGUAACACGUGGAUAACCUACCUAUAAGACUGGGAUAACUUCGGGAAACCGGAGCUAAUACCGGAUAAUAUAUUGAACCGCAUGGUUCAAUAGUGAAAGACGGUUUUGCUGUCACUUAUAGAUGGAUCCGCGCCGCAUUAGCUAGUUGGUAAGGUAACGGCUUACCAAGGCAACGAUGCGUAGCCGACCUGAGAGGGUGAUCGGCCACACUGGAACUGAGACACGGUCCAGACUCCUACGGGAGGCAGCAGUAGGGAAUCUUCCGCAAUGGGCGAAAGCCUGACGGAGCAACGCCGCGUGAGUGGUGAAGGUCUUCGGAUCGUAAAACUCUGUUAUUAGGGAAGAACAAAUGUGUAAGUAACUAUGCACGUCUUGACGGUACCUAAUCAGAAAGCCACGGCUAUCUACGUG